rnacentral:ncRNA from 1 species
GUGAGCCGUGUGAUGGGAAACCUUCACGCACGGUUCGGAGAGCACUGAAUUAGAAUGAGAGGUUCACCACCACAUCAUUGCAUGCAAGGGGAGCUCGCUCGAUUCGCAAAUUGGUCCGACUCGUAAUUCACUUCUGACCCCGU